rnacentral:lncRNA from 1 species
CUGAAGACUACUGAAAGAGCUUUAACUUGUGAAGGCACUGUAUUAAUCAAAAACAUGGAUGAACCUUUGAUCCCAUACUUGAUCCCCCUGCUUGGAAGAAAUGCAGCUAAAAGGGGAAAGUAUAUCAAGAUUGAAGGCAAAGAAUGUGAAUCCAACAAGAAUUUCCAUCUCAGCCUUCACACUGAACUGGCUAGCCCUCACUACGAGCCCGAACUGCAAGGCUCAGUGCUUUGGGACACCCAAAGCAAGAACUUGUGGAGACAUUUGAAUCAAUAAAGUCAACUGCAGCUGAAAUACAGCACAAGGUGAACAGGCACAUUGCUACAGAAAACAAUUCCCUAAUAUUUGUCUGAGCAGAAG